UACAGAGGGGGCAAGCGUUGUUCGGAAUUACUGGGCGUAAAGGGCGCGUAGGCGGUUCGAUAAGUCCCGUGUGAAAUCCCUCGGCUCAACUGAGGAACUGCACGGGAAACUGACGGGCUUGAGUUCGGGAGAGGGAAGCGGAAUUCCGGGUGUAGCGGUGAAAUGCGUAGAUAUCCGGAGGAACACCGGUGGCGAAGGCAGCUCUCUGGGACGGUACUGACGCUGAGACGCGAAAGCGUGGGGAGCGAACAGG
rnacentral:rRNA from 1 species